GCUUAGGGAGGGUGGGGUACCCCAAACAUCCAGGCUUUGGGGGAAUCAGGAGGAGCUGGGGGAUCAAUCCCAAAUUUUGAUAGGGUGCUGCGACCCCUUUAGUGUUGGGGGGAGUGUGAUGGGCGCCGCAAGUGGGAGGGAAUGGGGGUGUCAGGAGGUGGAAGCCCCCCUCUCCGUGCUGCAGAACCAUCUUGGACCAAAGGGGCAAUACAAGGCCUUUUGAAGCUCCCUCCCUAUCCCGCAGUUUGGAGCCAGGGGAGGAAGGAACAAUGAGGAAAAACCACCUUUGGGCGGGGCUCCUUGGGGGCUAAAUCUGCCUUUUAUUUGGAAUUUGGAAUGGGAAACAUCGGGACAAUGAUCAUACUGGAGAAGCAGUUUUUAAUCCUGAGCAACACCCUGACAGCUUUUACUCAUGAAUAAAGAAACUGAUGCCAAUGUAUUUGCUCAGAUGUGAUCCUGACCACAGCUUCAAGAGUCCUCUGGAAUUUUUUCUCCUACUCUCCCUAGAGUACUGUAAAGACCAUGAGUUUUGUGGAUGAAUUACUGCCUUGGAUAGGGAUAACGAGGACUUCCUCCCCCAACCUUGGAAAAAUGUGGUGGAAUUGAAGUGCCCGGCGAGAGAUCCCCGCAGGAAUGGAAACAAACUGUUCUUUGCAGAAGCUGAUUAAUGUGGGCUAAUGGCUCAAAGCUGGCAUCUCUCCUGCUUUUUGGGUGCUGUACGGACCCUGGAUUCACCACAGGAUACCCUGGGCUGCUGCUUCUAGAGCCCCUGUCCUAACCUGGCCCUUAUUAGGGAUGUACACUGAUAGAUCGAAGAACUCCCGUGGUAAAAUGUCAUGCGGAAUUUGAGAUACGAUUGAAAAGGGUGGAACAGCAAGAUUGCUUCUGAAUUUAUCUACUGGCCAUCCCAGGAGAACAUCUUCAGGAAACGGUUUCCAGUCCAGAAGUUGUAUCUAUCAGGCCAGGGAGAGUCCAUCAUCUUCAUAAAUGUCACCGUCUUCUGCAUCUUCCCUCCUUUACACUGGAAAACAACCGCACCUGGAUUUGCUGCUUUCUUUGAAGGCAACCACAUUGGAGGUCCUCCUGCUGAGUCCUAACACAAAGAAAGCAAGUUCCACAAGUCAUUUUCCAUCACUGGUUUUGCUUUAUUACCCAUAAGGCAAAAAACACCAUGUAGCAACUUCAACUGUUUUUCUUUCAUCUUAUGGUAACUUUUGUCUGUUUAAUAAGCUUGACCUCAACUACUAGAGGGCAAGAAGGAACCUUCAGUGCAGUAAACUGGAGUGGAGAGGUGGAAACUACCUGCUGCUGGGGAAGCAGAGAGAUUGUGUGUCCCUGUCUGGAGUCCAGCUUCUCCCCACACAUCAUUCCAGAUGCUACCACUACCAUGGGGCAGGAGGAGAAUGUCACCCAGAAGAUCGAGAGCAACCAAAGAAUGCUCGCUAAGAUGGAAGACUCCCAGGAGUGAA